UGGGAACGUGCUCUUUGGUUCGGAACAACUCCGGGAAACUGGAGCUAAUACCGGAUAAGCCCUUCGGGGGAAAGAUUUAUCGCCAAAGGAUCGGCCCGCGUCUGAUUAGCUUGUUGGUGAGGUAAUGGCUCACCAAGGCGACGAUCAGUAGCUGGUCUGAGAGGAUGAUCAGCCACACUGGGACUGAGAUACGGUCCAGACUCCUACGGGAGGCAG
rnacentral:rRNA from 1 species